AUGACUAGGGAUAACCUUAGGAAGAGACACAUCAUCAAACCCCUUGAUUGUGUUUACUGCUUGGAACAAGAGUCUUGUUCUCACCUAUUUUUUGAAUGUAUAGUUGCUAAACAUCUCUGGGCCCACAUUGAGGAAUUCUCUAGUCAGAUUGGCUCAUCCUUCGAAUCUGUCGCCGGAUUCUGGAUUGCUACCAAAAAGUUCUCAGUUUUAAACAUUGUUAGCUCAGCUGUCCUUUGGUGCCUCUGGAAAUAUAGAAAUGUUAUAAUUUUCAGUAACACCUCCUGGAUUUCCAUUCCACAGGUCUUGAGGUUGAUCAGGAACAUGGUGAGGAACUGGGCGAUUCUCUCCUCCGGAUCGGACAAGGACAAGUUGACGAGCUUCGUGGAAACCCUAACAAGAUCCCUCCAGAAACCGUUGGCGAUCACUUGUGGCUGA
rnacentral:rRNA from 1 species